GUUUAAGUAGUUUAUACAAAACAUUGGUCUUGUAAACCAAAAUAGAGUUAAAUAACUCCUUAAUCU
rnacentral:tRNA from 1 species